rnacentral:rRNA from 1 species
AUGAACGCUGGCGGCGUGCCUAAUACAUGCAAGUCGAGCGAACGGACGAGAAGCUUGCUUCUCUGAUGUUAGCGGCGGACGGGUGAGUAACACGUGGAUAACCUACCUAUAAGACUGGGAUAACUUCGGGAAACCGGAGCUAAUACCGGAUAAUAUUUUGAACCGCAUGGUUCAAAAGUAAAAGACGGUCUUGCUGUCACUUAUAGAUGGAUCCGCGCUGCAUUAGCUAGUUGGUAAGGUAACGGCUUACCAAGGCAACGAUGCAUAGCCGACCUGAGAGGGUGAUCGGCCACACUGGAACUGAGACACGGUCCAGACUCCUACGGGAGGCAGCAGUAGGGAAUCUUCCGCAAUGGGCGAAAGCCUGACGGAGCAACGCCGCGUGAGUGAUGAAGGUCUUCGGAUCGUAAAACUCUGUUAUUAGGGAAGAACAUAUGUGUAAGUAACUGUGCACAUCUUGACGGUACCUAAUCAGAAAACCACGGCUAACUACGU